rnacentral:lncRNA from 1 species
GUAAAGUUACUAAUUGACUCCCUUUCUAUUUUACUUUUUUUUUUUUUUUUUUGGUAAUCUAUCUUAAAGACUUGGGGAAAAGUGAACAUGAGCAAAUAAUAAAUAUAAAAAAAGAAAAACAUCUAUUUAAGAUCACUUCUAAUUUCUCCCACGCUAAAAGAAAAAAAAUCUUACUACACCUUAUACUUUCCGAGUUAUUGCCCCAUUUUAAAAUUUCCCUUUGUAGCAAAACUCUUGAUCAGAUUUCCUACCCCACCAAUACCCCUCAUGAAUAUAUGAUGCAAAAUUUAAAAAUAUCCAUCAAAUGCAGAAAUAUAUUUUUAAAAGAAUAUGUCAUAACCAAGUAGAAUUUACAUUAGAAAAUAAAUUAAUACAUUUUAUUGCAUUGACAGAAUAAAGAAGAGGAAGGCUCUAACAAAAUACAGGGACCAUUCAUGAUAAAAAUUCACAAAUUAAGAAUGGAAGAGAAGCUCCUCAUUCAGAUAAAGGGCAUCUGCGAAAACCUGUAACUUACACUAUAUUUAUUGGCAAAAUACUGGAUAUUAUCCUUUGUCCCUCAACUUCAGGAAUCCAGUCAGUGUGAUAAAGACCAAAAAAGCAUAAAAUGGAUAAAGAUUGGAAUGGAAGUAUUAAGUCUUUAUUCACAGAAAUUUAAAAGUAUAUAAAUUUAUCAUAUAGAUGUUAUCUAUGAAAUCUCAAACAACCAAAAAACACUAAAUAUAAGUAAAUUUAGCAAGGUUGUAGAAUAUGAAGUCAAUGUAGAAAAAAAGCUGUGCUUGUGUAUACUAGAAUGACUAAUUGAAAGUAAAAUUUAAAAAUAAUUUACAAUAAAAAAUUACAAAUAUUUUAACAGAUAUUAAUGAAGACCUAUAUAAACAAACAUACCAUGUUUAGGAAUUAGUAGAAUUGAUAUUGAAACAAUGUCAAUUCUCCCCAAAUUCUGUAUAGAUUCAAUACCAUUCUGACCAAAACCCCAGUAAGUUUACUUAUACAAAUUUACAAGAUAAAUCUAAAAUAUUUAAGAAACCCCAAAGAACUUUAGGUAGCCAAAUAUGAUUUUUAAAAUAAAAACAAGGUUAGAGCACUAAUACAACCUGGUUUCAAAACUUGUUAUAAUAUUACAGUAAUCAAAAUAGCAUGGCAUUGGCAUAAGGAUGGAAAAAUAGAUCAGUGAAACAGAAUAGAGUUCCAGAAAUAGAUCACCACAUUUAGAGUCAGUGGGGAAAACAGAAUAUUUUCAACAAAUGGUGGUGGGACAAGUGACCAGAAUGCAAAUUACUUCAAUUUAUAAUAGAAAUUAAUUCAAGACAGAUAAUAGACCUAAUGGUAAAAGCUAAAACUGUAAAUCUAUAAGAAAUCAUGGAAGGAUAUGUUCACAAUCUUAGGGGAGGUAAUGAUUCUUAGAGAGUACAUAAAUAUCACUAAUCAUAAAAUAAAAAAAUAAUAAAUUAGACCUCAUCAAAAUUAAAAAUGUCCAUGCUUCUAAAAAAAGUGUUAAGAAAAGGAAAAUUCAAGCCACAAACAUACACACGCACAUAUAACACACAUCCAGAAAACACAAAAAAUCAUACGAGUUAAUAAAAGUCUAAUUUUUAAAAUUGGGAACAUACUAUAAUAAAAAAUACAUAAAACACAUAUUUAAAAGUGUUCAGCAUCUUUAAUCAUCAGGAAAAUGCAAAUUAAAGCUACAAUGAUAAUAUUGUUUCCCACCCACUAGUAUAGAUAGCUAAAUUUUAAAAAGCUGAAAACACCAAAUGUUGGUAAGGAUAUGGAGACACUGAAACUCCUGUAACAUUGCUGGUGGAAUUAUAAAAUGGUACCAAUAUUUUGGAAAACUGCUUGGCAAUUUCUAAUAAAGUUAAACAUAUGCGUACUGUAUUAGGGUUCUCCAGAGGGACAGAACUAAAAGGAUAUAUAUAUAUAUGAAAGGGAGUCUAUUAGGGAGAAUUGGCUUACUUGAUCACAAGGUGAAGUCCCAUGAUAGGCCGUCUGCAAGCUGAGGAAGAAAGAAGCCAAUAGUGACUCAGUCAAAGUCCAAAAUCUUCAAAGGUAGGGAAGCUGACGAUGCAGCCUUCAGUCUGUGGCCAAAGGCCGGAAAGCCCCCAGCAAACCACUAGUGUAAGUCUAAGAGUCCAAAGGCCAAAGAAGCUGGAGUCUGAUGUCUGAAGGCAGGAGGGAGAGAUGGAUGGAUGCAUCCAGCAGGGGAGAAAGGUGAAAGUCAGAAGGCUCAUCAAGCCAGCCUAUCCCACCUUCUUCCGCCUACUGUGUUCUGGCUGUGCUGGCAGCAGAUUGGAUGGUGCCCACCCACAUUGAGGGUAGGUCUUCCUUUCUCAGUCCACUGACUCAACUGUCAAUCUCCUCUGGCAACACCUUCACAGACACACCCAGAAACAAUACUUUAUCAGCUAUCUAAGCAUCCUUCAAUCCAAUAAAGUUGACACCUUUAUUAACCAUCACACCUACCCUAUAAGUGAGCAUAUUUGCUCCUGGGUAUUUUUUCUCAAGAAAUAUGAAAACAAAUGUUGACACAAAGACUUGUAUAAAAUGUUUUUAUGCCAGGCAUGGUGGCUCUUGCCUGUAAUCCCAGCACUUUGGGAGGCCAAGGAGGAAGGAUCACUUGAGUCCAGGAAUUCAAGACCAGCCUGAGCAAGACAGUAAGACCUUGUCUCUACAAAAAAAAAUAAAAAUUGAGGUGGAAGGAUCACUUGAGCCCAGGAGGUCAAGGCUGCAAUGAGCCAUGAUCACACAACUGCACUCCUGCCUAGGUGACAGGAGUGAGACUCUGUAAAAAAACAAAACAAACAAAAAAAAUUGUAGUGGCUUUAUCUUUAGUAGCCAAAACAGCCCAAGUGUCCAUUAGCAGGACAGGCAUAUAUAUAUAUAUUGUGGUACCAAAAUAGGAACAAAAAGAGAGACAAACUGUAGAGAAAACAAUAGGACAGGUUUUUAAAAAUAGUUCAUAUGAAAGAAGCCAGAUACAAAACAGUACAUACUAUAUUUUAUUUACAGAAAGUUCAUGUAUAAUCCAAACUAGUCUAUAGGGAUAAAAAUCAGAACAGUGGUUGCCUGUGGAAGUGGUGUGUACAGAAAACCUUAGCUAGAGAUGGAAAUGUUCUAUAUUUGGAUGGAGAUGCUGUUUACCUGUGUGUGUUCAUUUGUCAAGACUUAUUUAAUUUUACAUUUAAGAUUUACGCAUUUUGAUGUAGGUAAAUUUGAUCUUAAUAAAUUAUUUAAAAAUAUAAAAUAUCCUUGCUUACUAGUCAAAAGUCAUUGCUGAAAUAACAUUACCUGGUGUCAGUAAGAAAUAGAUGAGUUCUCAAACACAGAAUAUUGUUGAGGAAUUUUGUGAUAUUUGAAAGCCUAAGGUCUCUUAUUCGUUGGCUGGCCAUAGCACAAUCUUGAAAAAGAAAUGUUGUGUCUGUACAUAUUUAAUUAUGGACACCACUAUAUGGCUACUAAAGAACAACCCACCUUUGCCCAAAUUACAUUACCAGGUUAUCUGGGAUCAAAGGUAUAGAUGUGGAAUUCAAGGUCUUAAACUAGAAUGAAGUAUGGGGAAGAAAGUGGAAAAAGCAUUAAAUGUGUGGUCUGUGUGCUAUGUGUUUUCUGAUGACUAAGUCCGAAUUUUCUAGGAAAUACAAAGCAUAUUUCAAUUUUCUGAGUAUUAUGUGUUUACAGAUAUCUAUUUUUCUUAGCAUUUCCAGUAAACAAAUGGGAAUAUAUAGUUAAAUUUGUUCCAUAGGUACAAAUAUUGAAGGAAAGGGAAAUUAAAUUUGUAACUACUUGAUACCAGUGUGACUAGCUUAAAAAGAAACAUUUUUAUCAGUCAGUUGCCUGGAUAUCAUGACUGUUUAAAAUCAGACAACUAAAAAAUUAUUUUAAUUAAUUUACCAUCUUUUAGAAUAUAAGUCACAAUUUUUUAUCCCAACGCUAAAAGAUCAGGUAACAGAAGAGAAAUUAAAACCAACCUCUCAAUUUCUGGUCUGAAUAUUCCUUCCAGUAAAUGAUAGCUCCUUACAAAUACAGAGGACAAAAUAAAAGUGACUUAAUUAUAAAAACACAGUGACACAAAGUGAACCGGGUUCUAUAAAUUACCAUGGAAAGUGGUGAGCCAACGAUUUGGCAGAACAAAACCCUGAGGAUAUGCAAACAAAAGGGACUAUGGAAUUUGCAAUUGCAGAUUAAAAUUGAAGAAGAAAACAUUUGAGUUGCAAAUACCGUAUUAAAAGUGGACACUGCUUAUGACUGCUGUAUGCAACAGUUUUUCAGGCCCGAGAGGAACCCAGACAUGCUCUAUUUGCAAACCGACUGCAUGAAACAAAAAGCACGGUAAUUCUGAAGCUGUUGGCUUGGAUGAAAUGAGAAUGUAAUUAAAAAGAAAAAGGUUAGCAAAAGAACAUGCUGGGAAUUGAAAAUAAAAAUCUGAAAUGAUGUCCCAGCCUGCCCUUAAGGUCUUUUCCACCAUGUAGAGAGCUACCUCAAAUGCUCUACUUGUCCCAGAGUCUAUGUUCUUUCACUACUAUUGCCUAUAUCUGUGUUUUCUGCUUUCAAUAAUCUAUUGAAAUAAUCAAAAUUAAUUACAUUCAGCAUUUUUUCUGUAUUACUCUGAUUCUAAUAAUUACCUCAAAUUUAUUUGUGCAUUUCUAUACUAGAAAGAAAAAAUAAUUUUUAGAGUUUUACUAUAUCUUCCCCUUAAUUCUAAGUUGCUUGUCACUAAUUCCUUUCCCAACACUAUGUUAUUUCCACCAAGAACAUUACCAAUAUCUUCAGGAAAAUUCCACCCCAUAUUUUAAGCCAGAUUGAUUAUUGGGAAUAUAAAUACAUUUAAGAAGGAAAGUCUUUUUGACUGUGUUUCUCCACAGACCAAUAGUAUACAAAACACAGAAGGCUUUUAAGCACAUUUCAUAGGGAUCACUGACUUAGAACAGAAGGAACCAUUUCGUGAAACACUCUCAUUUUGCACAUAAAGGAGCUGUGGCCCACAGAGGAAUAUGAUUUACUGAGAGUGACCCAGUUAGUGGCCAUAAACCAAAAGCCCCAAGAUGCUAAAUGUUUGUUAUGAAGAGUAAAAAUCCUCCCAGUUUAUAAGAAGUAACUUCAUCCUUCCAUUUUCUAUUUCCACGAUGACUCCCCUGGCUUAAAUUUUAAUCUCUAUUUUGGAUGACUCCAAAAUCUCAUUCUUCUAAAUUAAUUAUCUAAUACCACAAUGUUGCACUUAUCUUCCUACAAAUCUACUUUCAUCUGCCUUGACAAAGCCAACCCUAAUUUUCUCUAGUCCUCAUUAGAAAUUAUUGCAACAAAAAUUCACAUCCAGUCUGAAGUUUGGGAGCCAGAAAAGAAUUUUCCCAUUAAGAUGAGACAGUAUCAAUUAUUAAGCAGAGGAAGACACAAGAGGGAAAGCAGCUUUCACAUGAAAAAAAAAGAACUCUGAUUUUCUGACACAUUUUGUCAUUGCAGUCAAACUUUCAGAGUUAGAACUAGAGACCUAGAUAUUAGCUAACCCAGCAUUUUCCAAGUAUUCCUCGGAACUCUAGAGGCACAGCAUAGUACUGGUAAUGAUUUUGUGGCAGGAUAGAUUAAGGAAACCUCACAGUUAUACCAAGUUAAAUUCAUUUAUUUCAUGUAAAAUUCUGAUAGCCUUUUAUGCUACUAGGCCUAGUGAUACUCCAAAAUUAUUGGCCAUAUAUCUGAAAUUUAUUUCAGCAAGAAACCCUUUAAAGAGCAUCCCGCAGAGUUAGUGUUUUGAGGGAUAUCAUUGGGGAAAAUGCUGAUCUAGACCAAUUCAACAAAUUGUAACUUAGUUAACACCAGAGUCAAAACAAAAACCAAGUCUACUCAUGUCUGUCUUAGGCCCUUUUGGUCACAAAAACACGUUCAAACCACUUCAAUUAAGAAAAUGGUGAGAGGGGAAAAGACAAGCAGGGAACCUUAUCCCAGGUGGGCUGAUCACAGGACUUCCAAGGCUGUCCCUUAGAAGAGUCACGAUAAUGGCAUCUCUAGCACAAAACUCAAAUUUAGUUUUAAUUCUUAGUCGAAUAAUAAUACAGUAAAAUUUAUUGCAUGCAUAAGGAUAAUACAUUAAAACUACUUAAAUUACAUUUUAGGGCCGGGCGCGGUGGCUCACGCCUGUAAUCCCAGCACUUUGGGAGGCCGAGGCGGGUGGAUCACGAGGUCAGGA